CAAAAUUUAAAUAGGCCUUUCUGAACCAAUUUAUUAAUUAAAAAUAGCUUAUGAGGAUAGCACUCAUCGCUGUUAAGACCCAACCAAAUCAUGUUUUUCGAAAUUACUUUAUUUUUAAUUUUUGUAGCUACUAGUUCUUGAUGCUUAUAUUUAUUGUAAUAAAUGUUAAAUGUGGCCAUUGAUCUGAUAAUAACUUGCUCGAGUUCGGGGCUUGGAAUAAUGAGUGAUGUCCUUUCUUGCCCAGUGAAGCUCUUAUUAAGGAGAAAUGAUUGUGAAGGCUCUGACAAAUUUAUAUUAGUCUGAAAAUUAAGUUUGCAUUUUGAACACUUAAAUUGUUCUAUAACACGUCUUACUAAAUAUCCAGCAUAAUAAUGAUUUGCAGAUUGUUCUAAACUAAUUUUUGAUGUUACAGUUUCUCCUACUUUAGCAACCUCCAUUGAUUCAUUGGACAUAUCAUUGGAAUUAUCCUCAUCCAUGUGUAUGUUAGUCUUGUUAGAGUUAGAGGUAUCAAUAUUGGUGUUUUUAGACAAAUUUGUGAUUUAGCAGUUGGGUUUAAAUUCCACCCUCCCCGUUGUCUAGCCAUGGAAAAUAAAUUUUCUAAAAAGUCUUGAUUUAGUAUAUUCGUGAGUAUAAACUGGAUCUUAUCCCGCUUUUCGCUAUUAAAAAGUUGUUCUAUUGCAUUAAUAGUCUGUACCAUACCAUCGAAACAUGGAGGCCUUGUUUCAAAAAUGCCGGACUUACCCUUUUUACGGUCCAAUUGAGAUAAAGAACCAAAAACAGAUUUCCCUUGU